UACGGGGGGGGCAAGCGUUGUUCGGAAUUACUGGGCGUAAAGGGCUCGUAGGUGGCCAACUAAGUCAGACGUGAAAUCCCUCAGCUUAACUGGGAAACUGCGUCUGAUACUGGAUGGCUUGAGUUUGGGAGAGGGAUGCGGAAUUCCAGGUGUAGCGGUGAAAUGCGUAGAUAUCUGGAGGAACACCGGUGGCGAAGGCGGCAUCCUGGACCAACACUGACACUGAGGAGCGAAAGCCAGGGGAGCAAACGGG
rnacentral:rRNA from 1 species